UUUAACACGUGUUAUCACACUCCAAACUUUUGAUAAAACUUGAGAGCUCUGGUAACGUUAACUAUUAGUUUUUAUGUAAGUUAGAGUUGUAAAUUAUCUCCGUGGUGCAACUGUUUUUAUUUCGGUAAUGCAUAAAACACAUUAGUAAUAAUUUACACUAGGCUAAGUUUGAACUCACAGCUGCUCGAACAGGCUGCUCAUCACCUCCUCUGUAAAUUACUGAAGUUACUAACCAUUUCACAAAGAGGACCAGUGACAUAACAAACCAGGAUUCACUUCAGGACUGAAAGACAGUGAUGGGGUGAAGCCGACUUCAAACUUGGAACAUAUCAUCUGAGUGACAUGGUGAUGUUCACGUUUGAUGAGAUAUUCCUCGACCCACCACAUUCUACUCAGUCUGAAAACUCAGGAGGACGAUAUUACUGGGCAGACGUCAUGCUUCAGUCUAGCACCUGAAGUGAAGACAACACAGUGGCCAGCAGCAGCAGAAAGUCUUUGUACCCACAGGAAGACGUCUCAGGAUGACCACUGUGAUCUGAGCUCCGUUACCAGCCGGCACAUCUCCAAUAUACAAGAAACCCUCGAUUUGUGUUUCCAUUUCAUUGGCUAUGAAUAAAGUGAUAUAUUUUUAA